UACCAGCACCCCGAGUGGUCGGGACGUUUAUUGGGCCUAAAGCAUCCGUAGCCGGUUCUACAAGUCUUCCGUUAAAUCCAGCUGCUUAGCAGAUGGGCUGCGGAAGAUACUAUGGAGCUAGGAGGCGGGAGAGGCAAGCGGUACUCGAUGGGUAGGGGUAAAAUCCGUUGAUCCAUUGAAGACCACCAGUGGCGAAGGCGGCUUGCCAGAACGCGCUCGACGGUGAGGGAUGAAAGCUGGGGGAGCAACCGG
rnacentral:rRNA from 1 species